rnacentral:rRNA from 1 species
UACGAAGGGGGCUAGCGUUGUUCGGAAUUACUGGGCGUAAAGCGUAUGCAGGCGGACUUUUAAGUCGGGGGUGAAAUCCCGAGGCUCAACCUCGGAACUGCCUUCGAUACUGGAAGUCUUGAGUCCGGGAGAGGUGAGUGGAACUCCGAGUGUAGAGGUGAAAUUCGUAGAUAUUCGGAAGAACACCAGUGGCGAAGGCGGCUCACUGGCCCGGUACUGACGCUGAGGUGCGAAAGCGUGGGGGAGCAAACAGG